GGGCUCAGAGAGAGAGAUGGGGAGAGAGAGAAAUUAAGAGAAAGAGGGUGAGGGAGAGAUAUGGAGAGAAACAAGGAGAGAGAGAGGGAUGAGAGAAAGAGGGAGAGAGAGGAGGAAGAGAGAGAGAAAGAGGGAGAGAUGGAGAGAAAGAGAGAAAGAGAUAUGGAGAGAGGGAGGGAGAGGAGGGAGAGAAAAAAUGAGGAAGAGGGAGAGAUAUGGAGGGAAACAGGGAGAGAGAGAGAGAGAGAGACAGGAGGAGAAUAGCUGUUGGGGUUUAGAGUGUGCUGCCAAGUCAUAUGACAUUCCAGUGGGGGGAACUAGAGGAGGGGGAACCUUGGAAGAGGAGGAGCAUGGUUCAGGGGGGAUCUUCUUUGGCAUCGCACCAGGUCUAAGGAGGGACGGGGUAACCAUAACGAUCAGUGAUGCUGCUGCUGAAGAGAACCAAUCAGAACAUCAACAAGACAGUCUAGUUUUAAUGAACAAUACAACCUGCCAUCUUUUUUAUUAUUUUAUUGACUUUUUCACGUUUCCAAUGUAUUGUAAUUGGAAGAGAAGAAAAGAUAACAAAAAGGCACAAAUUCACAGUAAAAGAAACAGAAACGAGGGAGUGAGAGGGGGAGAGAGAGAGGGGGGAAGAGAGAAAGAGAGAGAGGGAUAGAGGGAGAGAGAGAGAUAAGACAAAAACAUCAAUACUCUGGGGUUCUGAACUCAUUAUCAAUACUCUGGGGUUCUGAACUCAUUAUCAACAGUCUGGGGUUCUGGACUCAUUAUCAAUACUCUGGGGUUCUGAACUCAUUAUCAAUACUCUGGGGUUCUGGACUCAUUAUCAAUACUCUGGGGUUCUGAACUCAUUAUCAAUACUCUGGGGUUCUGGACUCAUUAUCAAUACUCUGGGGUUCUGAACUCAUUAUCAACAGUCUGGGGUUCUGGACUCAUUAUCAAUACUCUGGGGUUCUGGACUCAUUAUCAAUACUCUGGGGUUCUGAACUCAUUAUCAAUACUCUGGGGUUCUGAACUCAUUAUCAAUACUCUGGGGUUCUGGACUCAUUAUCAAUACUCUGUGGUUCUGAACUCAUUAUCAAUACUCUGGGGUUCUGGACUCAUUAUCAAUACUCUGGGGUUCUGGACUCAUUAUCAAUACUCUGAGGUUCUGGACUCAUUAUCAAUACUCUGGGGUUCUGAACUCAUUAUCAAUACUCUGGGGUUCUGGACUCAUUAUCAAUACUCUGUGGUUCUGAACUCAUUAUCAAUACUCUGGGGUUCUGGACUCAUUAUCAAUACUCUGGGGUUCUGGACUCAUUAUCAAUACUCUGGGGUUCUGGACUCAUUAUCAAUACUCUGGGGUUCUGAACUCAUUAUCAAUACUCUGGGGUUCUGGACUCAUUAUCAAUACUCUGGGGUUCUGGACUCAUUAUCAAUACUCUGGGGUUCUGGACUCAUUAUCAAUACUCUGGGGUUCUGGACUCAUUAUCAAUACUCUGGGGUUCUGAACUCAUUAUCAAUACUCUGGGGUUCUGGACUCAUUAUCAAUACUCUGGGGUUCUGAACUCAUUAUCAAUACUCUGGGGUUCUGGACUCAUUAUCAAUACUCUGGGGUUCUGGACUCAUUAUCAAUACUCUGGGGUUCUGGACUCAUUAUCAAUACUCUGGGGUUCUGAACUCAUUAUCAAUACUCUGGGGUUCUGGACUCAUUAUCAAUACUCUGGGGUUCUGAACUCAUUAUCAACAGUCUGGGGUUCUGAACUCAUUAUUUAUUAUGUUUACAAACCCAGGGAACUAACAGGAAUAUCUAUGAGGUCGUCUCUGUCAGCCAACAUCUCCCACCAGGUGAAGGGAGUCUUCUGUCCCAUAAAUACCAGAGCCCAAUCCCAAAUGGACCCCUAGACCCUACGCCCUACGCCCUAUGCACUUGUGGAGAUCUGAGAAGAUUUUACUUGUAUAGGAGGAUUUGAUUGGUUUAAGAGGAUUUGAUUGGUUUAAGAGGAUUUGAUUGGUUUAAGAGGAUUUGAUUGGUUUAAGAGGAUUUGAUUGGUUUAAGAGGAUUUGACUGGUUUAAGAGGAUUUGAUUGGUUUAAGAGGAUUUGAUUGGUUUAAGAGGAUUUGACUGGUUUAAGGAGGAUUUGAUUGGUUUAAGAGGAUUUGAUUGGUUUAAGAGGAUUUGAUUGGUUUAAGAGGAUUUGAUUGGUUUAAGAGGAUUUGAUUGGUUUAAGAGGAUUUGACUGGUUUAAGGAGGAUUUGAUUGGUUUAAGAGGAUUUGAUUGGUUUAAGAAAGAUGGUGAAACUUCCACCUAACCUGUCAAAUCCUCUCAGAUCUUCCACAUAAGGAGUAGGGUUUAGAGCAUAGGGUGUAGGGGUUUAAGGGUCCAUUUGGGACUGGGCCCUGUUAGUCCUACAGUAGGUGUUUAACAUGUUCGCCAACCACAUCAUAUGAUAUAACAAUCUGCUGCCCGACGGAGCAGUUGAUGACGUGGCACACAACCAUUGGUUGAUGUAAUGCAACGUCUGUCGAUGUGGUCAGACCAUCAUCAUUGUGUUUCGAACCAUCUCAGACCACAUCUAGGCCCUCCUCCUUAUCCUCGACUACUAGAGUUCCCUACCAAAUGGGACCCUAUUCUAUGUAUAUAGUAGACUUCCCCUUUAAGUGACAAUGUCUGGACUUUCCCUUUUAAGAGACCAGCUCUGGACUUCCCCUUUAAUGUGAGAGAUGUUAGCGGCUCAGAUUAUUGACAGAGGUACUACAACAUCCAGAACCAAAUAUAUCUAUACACCGUCCUGUCAACAAGACGUGGUCCCUGGGAGAGAAGGGAGCAGUGAAGGGAAUAGGGGGUAGGGAGUAGGGGUAGGGGGGUAGGGAGUAGGGGCUAGGGGGUAGGGAGUAG
rnacentral:lncRNA from 1 species